rnacentral:rRNA from 1 species
GUCCACGCCGUAAACGUUGGGAACUAGGUGUGGGCGACAUUCCACGUCGUCCGUGCCGCAGCUAACGCAUUAAGUUCCCCGCCUGGGGAGUACGGCCGCAAGGCUAAAACUCAAAGGAAUUGACGGGGGCCCGCACAAGCAGCGGAGCAUGUGGCUUAAUUCGACGCAACGCGAAGAACCUUACCAAGGCUUGACAUACACCGGAAAACCCUGGAGACAGGGUCCCCCCUUGUGGUCGGUGUACAGGUGGUGCAUGGCUGUCGU